AACGAACGCUGGCGGCAUGCCUAACACAUGCAAGUCGAACGAGACCUUCGGGUCUAGUGGCGCACGGGUGCGUAACGCGUGGGAACCUGCCCUUAGGUUCGGAAUAACUCCCCGAAAGGGGUGCUAAUACCGGAUAAUGUCUUCGGACCAAAGAUUUAUCGCCUUUGGAUGGGCCCGCGUUGGAUUAGCUAGUUGGUAGGGUAAAAGCCUACCAAGGCCACAAUCCAUAGCUGGUCAGAGAGGAUGAUCAGCCACACUGGGACUGAGACACGGCCCAGACUCCUACGGGAGGCAGCAGUGGGGAAUAUUGGACAAUGGGCGAAAGCCUGAUCCAGCAAUGCCGCGUGAGUGAUGAAGGCCGGAGGGUUGUAAAGCUCUUUUACCCGGGAUGAUAAUGACAGUACCGGGAGAAUAAGCUCCGGCUAACUCCGUG
rnacentral:rRNA from 1 species